rnacentral:lncRNA from 1 species
UUAUAUGAUCAACUAAAUAUAUUCAUCAUGAGUAGAAUAAUCAAUUAGUUUAUUUGAAAUAAUUAAAAUUAAGCAAGUAUUUGUAAUAACUAAAUUGAUUUAACUAAAAUUAAAUAUGAAUAAAUAAGUUUAAUUACAGUUUCAAUUAAUCUCAUGGUAAUUACAUGAUUAACUAAGUGUGUUUGUCCUGAGUAGAGUGAUC